UACGGAGGGGGCUAGCGUUAUUCGGAAUUAUUGGGCGUAAAGGGCGUGUAGGCGGCUUCGUAAGUCUCAUUGUGAAAGCCCUCGGCUCAACCGAGGAACUGCAUGGGAAACUGCGGAGCUUGAGUCCGGGAGAGGAGAGCGGAAUUCCCAGUGUAGCGGUGAAAUGCGUAGAUAUUGGGAGGAACACCGGUGGCGAAGGCGGCUCUCUGGACCGGUACUGACGCUGAGACGCGAAAGCUAGGGGAGCAAACAGG
rnacentral:rRNA from 1 species